UUUUUCUUUUUUUCUUUUUUCCUGUAUUUUUUUUAGGGCUACACCUGCGGCAUAUGGAGGUUCCCAGGCUAGGGGUCGAUUGGAGCUACAGCUGCCAGCCUGCACCACAGCCACAGCAAUGCCAGAUCCUUAACCCGCUGAGCGAGGCCAGGGAUCGAACCCGCAACCUCAUGGUUACUAGUCGGGUUUGUUAACCACUGAGCUACGACGGGAACUCCUGUGUCCCUAUUUUCCCAAAAGCACUGCUGGUUUGGGAAGCAUGGAACCUGAGAGCUGCAGAGGGACAUCCAGUGACAUCCUUUAGCGCCAGCUCUAACUGCCCUCCUCUCCCCCGAGGGUCAAAGCCCCAAGAGUCAAAGCCCCAAGGCGGAGCAUCCCCGGGGCUGAGCCUGGGUGACAGAGGGCCUAGGGCGUUGUUUGACCAUCUCCCCAGGACCACACGCUGGACCAGCCCUCUGGGAAGGGCCCACCCCGGUGCUCCCUCUCCAGAGCCAGCUCCUCCUAGAGGGCAUUCAGGAGUUCACGUGAUGCUCCAAGGGGCCCCUUCACUGCUUAUUCUGGGGGCGCUCAAGAGAGGGAGGGGCGGCAUUCCCCUAUGAUCUCCGCUUGGUCCCACAGAGGCCACCAGGAUCCACCCUGCAGAACCAGGACGACUGGUUUGGAUGUGGUGGCCCCUGUGUUCACCCCAGAAGGAGUGGGCUGGGAGCAAGAAGAGGGAAGCAGAACCACCGUGAUUCCGUCAUGUGCCUUCAUGGAACAGUCUCUCAGGGAAAGUCUCUCAGGAAAAGAUUCUGGUGAAAACAAGGUGUGAAGAAAUCUAUGUUUGACUUGAAAUGGUUGCGCAAGCUGGCAAAGCUUUGUCAUAAGGGUUGGCUGCCUAUCGAGUUAUUUUGACACUUAACACACUGACGCUUUGGGAACCUGAGCCCAUUUUUAGCAGCCGCCUUUCCUCACAGCCUGGGGCCCACACAGACACCUGGGCUCCAGGCAGAGGUGCUCAGAAGGAGGCCUCGCGCCUGCUCAGAGGGAGAGCAGCUCCAGAGAUGGGACAAGGACAGAGGCGUGGACGCGUCACAAAGUGUCCUAAAACAGUGGUUCACAAACCAGACUGUAGAGCCCCAGGGUGUCCUUGGGGUCCCACGUGUGCAGGGUCCCACGUGUUACCAUCAGGACACCCAGUUAAAUUUAAACAUCAAACAGCCAGUGAGUUUUUUUAGGGUAAGUAUGGCCCAUGCAGUAUUUGGGAUAUACUUAUCCUUUUGAAAGUAUUUAUUGUUCCGAAAUUCCAUCUUCACUGUAUAUCUGGCAUUUUUAUUUGCUAAACCUGGCAAACUUGGGUGUCCUCCUGCUUUGCUUUUAUUUAGUUUGGGGCUUAUGUUAGUUUUUUUUUUUUUUUUUUGGAGUCAGGGUUUUCACUCCCCAAACAUCAAAGUUUGGAAAGCCAUGGCUAGCUCCUCAUUGUUUUUUUCCACGUUGAAAAAUUUAGCUGUAACGAAUGUUAAAUGCAUUCCUCCAGCCCUAGACAGAUGUCAUGGUGCGUGCUGACAGCCCAGGCACGGGCACGGAAAUCUGGGCCAGCACGAGAUGAACAAGACAGAGCUGCUGCCUCUCAAGUUGUCGAGAGAUGGUCGCCCCUGCCCAAGUGUGGUGGGGAGUGCAAGGCGCUGAGAAGGGAGUGAGGCCCACGUGGAUCAAGGCAGAGCCAGGAAGCAUUAAGAGAAGCCAGGCAGGGCUGCCAAGCAGGCACGGCCUCUGGCGCUGGUUCCCACCUGCCAUGUUCCAAGCCGGCGGGCACACCGCUGGGAAGACCUGAUUCUCUCGGGCUUCGCUUUUCUUUCCCUCUGACUUACGGUUUAUUGAUGCCCUGGUCAAGACUGAUGAAGCAGUCAGGGAGCCGCUUCCUGUUCAGUUGACUUAAGAGGGAUGACAUGGGCGAGCCAUUUCCUUGGGGCGUUUUGGGAUCUAACACCCAGGUCUGGGCCAAGGUCCCACGGGUACGGGCAGGAACCACCUUUCCCUGUGUCCGUGAGACUCUGGCCCGGCCCUGACCAGCACCAGGAAUGUGGCAGAGAGACACGAGGGAACUCUGCAGGAGGAGUGUUCAAAGGGCAACAUGCCGUCCACCCUGUUACCAGGUAAACACCUCCGCCUCCGGGUGGAUGCGAGAGCCCGAGGCCCCAGGUCUGCGGAGGCAGAGUUGUUUCCACUGCCUGAGGAAGCGGCGGGGGCAAAAAGAGGGGGCUCUGUUAUCAGGAGCAUGUUUGUUUGUUUGUUUGAGUCAUCAGAGGAAGUGAUUUCCCUUCUAGAAGCGUCUGCUGGGAAUGGAGCCCCUGAAGGUGGGUGCUGGCAGGGCUCGCGGCCGAUGCUCUGGGGCUCAGGAGGCUCGGCCUUGGAGCCUGGUCUCACGUGGCCAGGACAGCGUGGAGUUGCCAGCAUGUGACCCGCCGCAAUGGGCUCGGCAUGGUGGGGGCCGUGGCAAAGAGGCUCAGAGACGCUUUUGUGUGAGUCCAGAACAACCACACGUAGCCCAGGAUUAGUGAGCCGACCGCAAGUGUGUGGAAAGCGAGAAGGCCGUCUCCCGCUCCCACGGGGAGCUGGAAAUAGAACUCUGCCCUUUGUCCUUGAGGAGCUGAGGCAACUGCCCCGUGUGGGAGUCCCGGCCACAGCCCCUUGGUUCCUCUCGCCCCCCCAUUCCCCUCCUGCCCUUCUUCCUCUGUGGCCUCAGCCCCCGCCUGGGAACACUGUGGGCUGCGCUCAGCCCCACUGCUGGUCACCUCUGGGCUGGCGGGAAGGUCACAUCCGGAGAAUGGGUGCGCUCCUGGUUGCCAGGGAAAGCCGGACAACGCCUUCCUAUGGGUACUAGCUGCCACCCGAAGCCCUGACCUGGGGCCAUUCCGAAACGUUCUGCCUCUUUCUGGCAGUCAUGUCAGCGUCAGGCACACCCUUCCAGGGUUUUAAGACUUCAUUAUGCGAGAAUCGCAGAGAGAAGCACUGUGCAUUUUACACGGCAUCCCGUGCACGCAGUAUCGCUGGUCUUCUCCACAUAUGGACAGGGGUCCUUGGCUCCGGCCCCAGGCUUUGCCACACUCAGCUUGUGGGCAGUCGGGCAGGAGUCGGGAGGGAGAGGGAGGAGCGGGAGUAAGUAUCUAUGCCCCAUCGGCUUGCCCCAAGCUGGCUGGCUUCCUCCCUCUGCUGAUGACCACAGCUCCUGUCUGAGCUUUCCCCACAUGACUCUCUCCGUCUCCAACUUCUGGAAACACCUUCUGCCUUCAAGCUUUCAAGGCUGAGGCUGAUAACUAAGCCCCGCAGUUCCUUGACCUGGCCCUGCCCCAGCUCUGGUGAGUUCCCUACNNNNNNNNNNNNNNNNNUUCCUUUAUUAAAUGCCCACAGAUGACACAAUCAGAAUGUGCCAUCUUUCUACUGCUGUAUCCACACAGCGUGUGUCCAUACAUUACACGCACACACACACGUUCACACGAGACUCCUGAAAUAACACUCACUCUUACUCCCCACCAGGGACUCUCAUAUAUGACUCUCUUCUGUCAAAUUAUCAGGAAUGCUUGUCCCACCUCCUCAAUUCAUGCCAUGACUCACUUGUGGCUCUCAAUUCCAUCUGCAAAGCACGCGUGGGGCCAGCCCCAGGGAGGCCGCUGUCAGCUGGCCUGGCUACGGCGUCUGGCAGAGGUCAGCGUGGAACGUGCUGGGGGUCUGUUGGAUGACUCUGCAGAGUGGGUGUCUACGGGGCUCCCCUAGGGGAAGGCUGGACUCCUUUCUGGGGGUCGUUCCUUUCUGCGGGCAUCCCAUCCCGGGGGCCGGGUUUCCACCUUGUAAGCUAGAAAGCUGUGUUGGUUAGAUGCUCUGAGCUGCUGCGCUUCGGGGUGACUCACACAACAACCGGGCACGACCGCUGCGGUCCGGAUUCAGCCACCCCCCAGGACGGUCCGGUGGGCACCAGAGCCGUGUUCGCCCAUCGGCACCCUCUCACGGGUGGGAAUUCUCUCCGGAAAACCAGGCUGUCAUCAGAAGGCGCCCGGCCAGCAUGGCCUUAGAGCAAGGGCGUCCUUAGCAGCGGGGGCGGAUCUGGGCGUCCAGAGCAGGACCUCUCCGGGACGCCCGCUUCAGGGGCCCUGCUUUGAUCCCAAACCCUUGCUGACCCACCCCCUCUGGCUGACGCAUUGACCUUCUCAUUCUGUUCCCUACUGGGUCAGAACGAUUGAAGCUUCUUAUUUUGGUCCUGGUGGUGGUGGGUGGGGGUGGUUUGUGGGGUGGCUGCCCGAGGGUGGGUGGCACGUGUGUUCAGGGAGCAGGGGAGUUCCCCCUGCCUCACCUUCCAGCUGGUCCUGAGAUGGGCCCAGUAUCUGGCCAAUCAGCAAUGGCCAUAAGUGCAGGCUUAGGAGCGCUUUGUGGAAACUGGGCUGCUGUGGGGCGUAUUGUAGGCACGAUCUCAUUUCUCUCCCAACCAGCUGAUGAGAAAGGGCCGGUUUCCCCACCAUGUACCUAAGGAGACCGAGGCUCAGAGAGCCCAGGUGAUUGGGCUGAGGUCGUACUGUAAGCCAAUGGCUAGGGGACCCUAGAGGCCAUCCGUGAGUAUACACAGGCUCUGAAAGGACAAGGAAUGUGUCCCCAGCCCCUUGAGCUCCCGCUCCCUGAAGGCAGGUCCUGGCUCCGGCAGGAAAUUCCCUCUCUGCCCCGCUAGCCCCCCCCACAGUGCCCAGGGCAGGACUCAGCACCCCUGGACCCAGGCACCCACACUUGCUGACAGGCGCAGAUUGGGGACCAGCCUCUUGCCAAAGAGGGAGGGCCAGUGGGAGCCUCAGACCACAGGGAGGUGACUCCAUGGACGCACCAGACCGUGGUGGUGACUCAGCUGCCUGGCUGGUGGACGGUGCUCGGACGUCAGCCCUUGCACUGCGGCCCUUCCCUUUUUCCCCUGGAACAAUAACAAAUCCUGGCUCUGUGAUUCGGUUGCCAUGGAAACUAGAAAACAUUUGAUAACGUGGAAACACUGGGACAGGUGGGCUGAGCAGGUCUGGGUGAAAACAACCUUUCCUGCCCCUUCACCCCAAAUCCCGGGCGUCUCACCUGUUUGGAGCAGAUUAGCUAAGUAGCCAAGAGGGCGUUACCCUGCCACCUGUGUUGAGUGAUCUUGUCCGACCAGGAAGUCUGGGGCAGCCACAAGUCUGCGUGCUCGUGGGAUGGGNNNNNNNNNNNNNNNNNAGUGAGAACUACCCUGUCUGCCUGGGAGACCGAGCGUCAUGUGGGGUGUCUGCCCCUGGCACGCGUGGGCCUUGUCCAGGACACUGAAGGCAACAGGAAGAGGGGAGGCACAGGUCCUGAUGCUCAGAGAGCUCCUGUCUGCUUGGGGCAGGACACACACCUGGACAGUCCUGCCCGGUCCC
rnacentral:lncRNA from 1 species